UGUUCUGGCGGCUGAACGUGGGGCACCCUCGGGUGCGCCGGGCUCCUGAGCCCCGGUCUGCUAACCCGCGUCCAGCUGCCAUCCUC
rnacentral:antisense_RNA from 1 species